GUUUCAACCAGUGCAUCACAACCGGACAAAGGCCGAGGUAUGUGCUGUCCUGUCUGUGGGUUCCCCUACUUUUUUGGAAGAGUAUAUAAUGACUGAUGAGACGUUCCACGAACAGCACCACAGAUUGUGAGAAGAACAUCUAUGUGAAUAUUUUCAAGCUGCUGGGACAGAUGCAAUGUACAAUUAUCCCAAAUUAUAUCAGCGCAGUCAAAGAGAGGAAGGAUAAAAGUGCUGAAUAUUUCUUCCAACUUCGGAAACUAGACUCGCCAGCUAUAAAGCGGCCAUAUCUAGGUUGCAAAAUGACCCAAAAUAUUACUUUUCUCAGCUCAUGUAAUGAUCAUAUCUUGAAUUAAAUGCCUAUAAAAAGAAA